rnacentral:rRNA from 1 species
GACGAACGCUGGCGGCGUGCUUAACACAUGCAAGUCGAACGGGAAGGCCCUUUCGGGGGUACACGAGUGGCGAACGGGUGAGUAACACGUGGGUGAUCUGCCCUUCACUUUGGGAUAAGCCUGGGAAACUCGGUCUAAUACCUGAUAGGACUACUCUAUGCAUGUCGUGUGGUGGAAAGCUUUUGCGGUGUGGUAUGGGACCGCGGCCUAUCAGCUUGUUGGUGGGGUGAUGGCCUACCAAGGCUACGACGGGUAGCCGGCCUGAGAGGGUGUCCGGCCAAACUGGGACUGGGAUACGACACAGCCUACUACGGGACGCAGCGGUGGGGAAGAUUGCACAAUGGGCGCAAGCCUGAUGCAGCGACGCCGCGUCGGGGAUGACAGCAUUCGGGUUGUAAACCACUUUCCGCACAGACGAAGCGUAAGUGACGGUAUGUGCAGAAGAAGCACCGGCUAACUACGUG